rnacentral:rRNA from 1 species
UACGUAGGGGGCUAGCGUUGUCCGGAAUCACUGGGCGUAAAGGGCGCGUAGGCGGCCUGGCAAGUCUGUGGUGAAAGCUCGUGGCUCAACUGCGAGUCGGCCAUAGAUACUGCGAGGCUCGAGUCGACUAGAGGCAGAUGGAAUUCCGGGUGUAGCGGUGGAAUGCGUAGAGAUCCGGAAGAACACCGGUGGCGAAGGCGGGUCUCUGGGCCACUACUGACGCUGAGAAGCGAAAGCAUGGGGAGCGAACAGG